rnacentral:rRNA from 1 species
AUAUCAAUAAGCGGAGGAAAAGAAACCAACAGGGAUUGCCCUAGUAACGGCGAGUGAAGCGGCAACAGCUCAAAUUUGAAAUCUGGCCCUAGGCCCGAGUUGUAAUUUGCAGAGGAUGCUUUUGGCAAAGCGCUUACCGAGUCCCCUGGAACGGGGCGCCACAGAGGGUGAGAGCCCCGUAUGGUAUGACGCCGAGCCUCUGUAAAGCUCCUUCGACGAGUCGAGUAGUUUGGGAAUGCUGCUCUAAAUGGGAGGUAAAUUUCUUCUAAAGCUAAAUACCGGCCAGAGACCGAUAGCGCACAAGUAGAGUGAUCGAAAGAUGAAAAGCACUUUGAAAAGAGGGUUAAAUAGCACGUGAAAUUGUUGAAAGGGAAGCGCUCGUGACCAGACUUGCGCCGGGCGGAUCAUCCAGCGUUCUCGCUGGUGCACUCCGCCCGGCUCAGGCCAGCAUCGGUUUUCGCCGGGGGACAAAAGCUUCGGGAACGUGGCUCCCUUCGGGGAGUGUUAUAGCCCGUUGCUUAAUACCCCGGCGGGGACCGAGGACCGCGCUUCGGCAAGGAUGCUGGCGUAAUGGUCAUCAGCGACCCGUCUUGAAACACGGACCGAGGAGUCAAGCAUUAGUGCGAGUGUUUGGGUGUAAAACCCGCACGCGUAAUGAAAGUGAACGUAGGUGAGAGCUUCGGCGCAUCAUCGACCGAUCCUGAUGUUUUCGGAUGGAUUUGAGUAGGAGCAUUAACGCUUGGACCCGAAAGAUGGUGAACUAUACUUGAAUAGGGUGAAGCCAGAGGAAACUCUGGUGGAGGCUCGCAGCGGUUCUGACGUGCAAAUCGAUCGUGCAAAUGUGCACUAUGUACGCGGAAGACUACUCGA